UUCCGGUUGAUCCUGCCGGACCCGACUGCUAUUUGGGUGAGGAUAAGCCAUGCGAGUUGAAUGGGAUACCUAAAUUUCCCAUAGCAAACUGCUCAGUAACACAUGAUCAACUUACCCUAUGGAGAAAAAUAACCUCGGGAAACUGAGGAUAAUGUUUCAUAGUUGAAUAGGCUUGGAAAAGUUUUUCAAUGAAAGGGAUAAGAAAAAUGGUUCUUAUUUGCCAUAGGAUAGGAUCGUGGUCGAUUAUGGUUGUUGGUGAGGUAACGGCUCACCAAGCCGAUAAUCGAUAGGGGCCGUGAGAGCGGGAGCCCCGAGAUGGGUACUGAGACAACGACCCAGGCCUUACGAGGCGCAGCAGGCGCGAAACCUCCGCAAUACACGAAAGUGUGACGGGGUUACCCAAAGUGUUCUAUUUAGAACUGUGGUAGGUGAGUAAUGUUCCCUACUAGAAAGGAGAGGGCAAGGCUGGUGCCAGCCGCCGCGGUAAAACCAGCUCUUCAAGUGGUCGGGAUAAUUAUUGGGCUUAAAGUGUCCGUAGCCGGUUUAGUAAGUUCCUGGUAAAAUCGGGUAGCUUAACUAUCUAUAUGCUAGGAAUACUGCUAUACUAGAGGGCGGGAGAGGUCUGAGGUACUACAGGGGUAGGGGUGAAAUCUUAUAAUCCUUGUAGGACCACCAGUGGCGAAGGCGUCAGACUGGAACGCGCCUGACGGUGAGGGACGAAAGCCAGGGGAGCGAACCGGAUUAGAUACCCGGGUAGUCCUGGCCGUAAACGAUGCAUACUAGGUGAUGGCACGGCCAUGAGCCGUGUCAGUGCCGUAGGGAAACCGUUAAGUGUGCCGCCUGGGAAGUACGGUCGCAAGGCUAAAACUUAAAGGAAUUGGCGGGGGAGCACCACAAGGGGUGAAGCCUGCGGUUCAAUUGGAGUCAACGCCGGA
rnacentral:rRNA from 1 species